rnacentral:rRNA from 1 species
GGACUACAGGGGUUUCUAAUCCCGUUUGCUCCCCACGCUUUCGCGCCUCAGCGUCAGUCACCGUCCAGAAGGCCGCCUUCGCCACCGGUGUUCCUCCCGAUCUCUACACAUUUCACCGCUACACCGGGAAUUCCACCUUCCUCUCCGGGACUCAAGAGAAGCAGUUUCGGGCGCCGUUCCUCGGUUGGGCCGAGGGAUUUCACACCCGACUUACCUCCCCGCCUACGCGCCCUUUACGCCCAGUAAUUCCGAACAACGCUUGCCACCUCCGUAUUACCGCGGCUGCUGGCAC